CAGGCCUAACACAUGCAAGUCGAGUGCGCGCCUGUAGCAAUACAGGUGGCGCACGGCGCACGGGUGCGUAACACGUGGGUAAUCUGCCCUUCGAUGGGGAAUAACUCCGGGAAACCGAAGCUAAUUCCGCAUAACAUUCCUUGAACUUCGGUUUGGGGACUCAAAGCCGUAAGGCGUCGGAGGAGGAACCCGCGCACGAUUAGCUAGUUGGUAGGGUAACGGCCUACCAAGGCUUUGAUCGUUAGCUGGUCUGAGAGGAUGGCCAGCCACACUGGAACUGAGACACGGUCCAGACUCCUACGGGAGGCAGCAGUGGGGAAUCUUGCACAAUGGGCGAAAGCCUGAUGCAGCGACGCCGCGUGGGGGAUGAAGCUUUUCGGAGUGUAAACCCCUUUCGACCCGGACGAAUGUCCCGCAAGGGAACUGACGGUACGGGUAUAAGAAGCCCCGGCUAACUACGUGCCAGCAGCCGCGGUAAUACA
rnacentral:rRNA from 1 species